rnacentral:rRNA from 1 species
GUAUAGUACCGUGAGGGAAAGGUGAAAAGAACCCCGGGAGGGGAGUGAAAUAGAACCUGAAACCCUGCACUUACAAGCUGUGGAAGCACAUUUCUUGUGUGACCGCGUACUUUUUGUAGAACGGGCCAACGAGUUACGUUAAGUAGCAAGGUUAAGCACUUAAGGUGCGGAGCCGUAGCGAAAGCGAGUUUUAACUGAGCGUUCAGUUACUUGACGUAGACCCGAAACCGGGCGACCUACCCAUGAGCAGGAUGAAGCGAAAGUAAAAUUUCGUGGAGGUCCGAACCCACGAGCGUUGAAAAGCUCGGGGAUGACUUGUGGGUAGCGGUGAAAUUCCAAUCGAGCCCGGAGAUAGCUGGUUCUCCCCGAAAUAGCUUUAGGGCUAGCCUCAAGGUGAGAGAUACGGAGGUAGAGCACUGAAUGUCCUAGGGGGUAUUGCACCUACCGAAGACUAUCAAACUCCGAAUGCCGUCAUCUUAUACUUGGGAGUCAGACUGUGGGUGAUAAGAUUCAUAGUCGAAAGGGCAACAGCCCAGAUCGUCAGCUAAGGUCCCUAAAUGUAAGUUAAGUGGUAAAGGAUGUGGGAUUGCACAGACAACCAGGAUGUUGGCUUAGAAGCAGCCACUCAUUCAAAGAGUGCGUAAUAGCUCACUGGUCGAGUGAUCCUGCGCCGAAGAUUUCCGGGGCUAAAACUUACUACCGAAGCUACGGCAUCAGUAAUGAUGGGUAGGGGAGCUUCCCAUACGGGUUGAAGCAUGACCGUAAGGACAUGUGGACAGUAUGGGAGUGAGAAUGUUGGCAUGAGUAGCGAGAUGUGGGUGAGAAUCCCACAGGCCGUAAACCCAAGGUUUCCAGGGGAAGGUUCGUCCGCCCUGGGUUAGUCGGGACCUAAGCUGAGGCCGAAAGGCGUAGGUGAUGGACAACAGGUUGAUAUUCCUGUACUACCGAUAACCGUUUGAGAGAAGGGAUGACACAGUAGGAUAAGCUAAGCACACUGUUGGUUAUGUGUGCCCAAGCAUUGAGGCAGUCAAAGUAGGCAAAUCCGCUUUGAUAAUGCUGGGAUGUGAUGGGGAGCGAAAUUUAGUAGCGAAGUAGCUGAUUUCACACUGUCAAGAAAAGUCUCUAUCGAGGUUAAAGGUACCCGUACCGCAAACCGACACAGGUGGGUGAGGAGAGUAUCCUAAGGCCAGCGAGAGAACUGUUGUUAAGGAACUCGGCAAAAUGACCCCGUAACUUAGGGAUAAGGGGUGCCACCAUCAGGUGGCCGCAGAGAAUAGGCCCAAGCGACUGUUUACCAAAAACAUAGGUUUCUGCUAAGUCGCAAGACGAUGUAUAGGAGCUGACGCCUGCCCGGUGCUGGAAGGUUAAGGGGAUCUGUUAGAGCAAUCGAAGCAGUGAACUUAAGCCCCAGUAAACGGCGGCCGUAACUAUAACGGUCCUAAGGUAGCGAAAUUCCUUGUCGGGUAAGUUCCGACCCGCACGAAAGGCGUAACGAUUUGGGCACUGUCUCAACAACAGACUCGGUGAAAUUGUAAUUCCGGUGAAGAUGCCGGAUACCUGCGACAGGACGGAAAGACCCCAUGGAGCUUUACUGUAGCUUGACAUUGGGUCUUGGUACUACAUGUACAGGAUAGGUGGGAGGCUUUGAAACCAGGACGCCAGUUUUGGCGGAGCCAUCCUUGGGAUACCACCCUUGUAGUACUGGGACUCUAACCAUAGGCCAUGAAUCUGGUCUUGGGACACUGUCAGGUGGGCAGUUUGACUGGGGCGGUCGCCUCCCAAAAGGUAACGGAGGCGCUCAAAGGUUCUCUCAGUACGGUCGGAAAUCGUACGUAGAGUGUAAAGGCAAAAGAGAGCUUGAUUGCAAGACAUACAGGUCGAGCAAGGAUGAAAAUCGGACUUAGUGAUCCGGUGGUUCUGCGUGGAAGGGCCAUCGCUCAACGGAUAAAAGCUACCCUGGGGAUAACAGGCUUAUCUCCCCCAAGAGUCCACAUCGACGGGGAGGUUUGGCACCUCGAUGUCGGCUCAUCAC